GGGGGAGGGUGGGGGUGACCAAGGCGACACCACUCGGAAGAAAAUGCAGACGAAUCUGAAUCAACAUAAAUUGAAUCAACAUAAAACUUAAAAGCAGAGGCGAUGCCCUCAUUUCACUACAUUUCACAUUUGUAAGGUGUGCAGGUAGCUUAGUGUGAUGGUAGAUGAACGUAAGGUAAUCGCAUAAGAUUAAACAGAUCUAAAUCUCGGAGAACGUGCGCAGUCGACGAGAGCUAUUUCCCCGGAGAGCGAGACACAUUUAAGCAGGAGAGAGCGCAGGAGAGUGGCUACCUGUCGUCGCUGAGAUGGCGGAAGCACGCCAAGCCGUAGCAUUCAGCUUCGCGAUCACCCACGACGGGCUUGAAGUCGACUUUGACCACGAGAUCCUGGGAGACAUCUGGCAUGGUGGCAUCCGCUCGUGGUACAAGCGUAUGUGGCGUGCAUUGCAUGAUCUCAGGGCAGGCAUCUACCCUGCUAAGCCAUACUCUCUCA